rnacentral:rRNA from 1 species
UGAGGAAUAUUGGUCAAUGGACGCAAGUCUGAACCAGCCAAGUAGCGUGCAGGAUGACGGCCCUAUGGGUUGUAAACUGCUUUUAUAUGGGGAUAAAGUGGGGAACGUGUUCCCUUUUGCAGGUACCAUAUGAAUAAGGACCGGCUAAUUCCGUGCCAGCAGCCGCGGUAAUACGGAAGGUUCGGGCGUUAUCCGGAUUUAUUGGGUUUAAAGGGAGCGUAGGCCGUUUGGUAAGCGUGUUGUGAAAUGUAGGAGCUCAACUUCUAGAUUGCAGCGCGAACUGUCAGACUUGAGUGCGCACAACGUAGGCGGAAUUCGUCGUGUAGCGGUGAAAUGCUUAGAUAUGACGAGGAACUCCGAUUGCGAAGGCAGCUGACGGGAGCGGCACUGACGCUUAAGCUCGAAGGUGCGGGUAUCAAACAGG